rnacentral:tRNA from 1 species
GCCAGGGCGGAACGGUAUUUAAUCGCGUUGGAAACGAGGUUCUGAAAAAGCUGGGUCAGAAGCACUGGGUCGCCCUCGAUUUCUGGCA